CAGGCCUAACACAUGCAAGUCGAACGGUGAAGCCCAGCUUGCUGGGUGGAUCAGUGGCGAACGGGUGAGUAACACGUGAGCAAUCUGCCCCUGACUCCGGGAUAAGCGCUGGAAACGGUGUCUAAUACUGGAUAUGAGCUGCGACCGCAUGGUCAGUAGUUGGAAAGAUUUUUCGGUCAGGGAUGAGCUCGCGGCCUAUCAGCUUGUUGGUGAGGUAAUGGCUCACCAAGGCGUCGACGGGUAGCCGGCCUGAGAGGGUGACCGGCCACACUGGGACUGAGACACGGCCCAGACUCCUACGGGAGGCAGCAGUGGGGAAUAUUGCACAAUGGGCGGAAGCCUGAUGCAGCAACGCCGCGUGAGGGAUGACGGCCUUCGGGUUGUAAACCUCUUUUAGCAGGGAAGAAGCGAAAGUGACGGUACCUGCAGAAAAAGCGCCGGCUAACUACGUGCCAGCAGCCGCGGUAAUACGUAGGGCGCAAGCGUUAUCCGGAAUUAUUGGGCGUAAAGAGCUCGUAGGCGGUUUGUCGCGUCUGCUGUGAAAUCCCGAGGCUCAACCUCGGGCCUGCAGUGGGUACGGGCAGACUAGAGUGCGGUAGGGGAGAUUGGAAUUCCUGGUGUAGCGGUGGAAUGCGCAGAUAUCAGGAGGAACACCGAUGGCGAAGGCAGAUCUCUGGGCCGUAACUGACGCUGAGGAGCGAAAGGGUGGGGAGCAAACAGGCUUAGAUACCCUGGUAGUCCACCCCGUAA
rnacentral:rRNA from 1 species